GACGAACGCUGGCGGCGUGCUUAACACAUGCAAGUCGAACGGAAAGGCCCUGCUUGCAGGGUGCUCGAGUGGCGAACGGGUGAGUAACACGUGGGUGAUCUGCCCCUUACUUUGGGAUAAGCCUGGGAAACUGGGUCUAAUACUGAUAGGACCAUGCUGUAGGUGGUGUGGUGGAAGAUUAGUUUCGGUAAGGGAUGAGCUCGCGGCCUAUCAGCUUGUUGGUGGGGUAAUGGCCUACCAAGGCGUCGACGGGUAGCCGGCCUGAGAGGGUGGACGGCCACAUUGGGACUGAGAUACGGCCCAGACUCCUACGGGAGGCAGCAGUGGGGAAUAUUGCACAAUGGGCGCAAGCCUGAUGCAGCGACGCCGCGUGGGGGAUGACGGCCUUCGGGUUGUAAACUCCUUUCAGCCAUGACGAAGCCCUUGUGGUGACGGUAGUGGUAGAAGAAGCACCGGCUAACUACGUG
rnacentral:rRNA from 1 species